UUUUACAGCCUAAGGCCAAGAAGAAAUUGUCCCUAAAAGUCCCCAAAGAUGACUCGAUGGCAGAGGUGACCAAAAAUGAUCUGGAUGGUCCUGAAGAUAAAGGAAGCUCUGCUCCAAGUUGCAGCAGUAUAAACAGCAUUGGAUCAGGAUCAAUCUCCAAAGUGGAGUUCCUAGAAGCCAGGAUCCAAUGGCAAGAAAAAAUAAUAAAGGAUCUUGAGCAAGAGCGCAAUUUUUGCGUGAGCAAAUCAUGGGAAAGAAGAAAUCAUCUCAGCCAAAUGUAUUUUCUUUGGAGGACGAUGAUGAGGAUGAUGAUGGCAAUAUGGAGGAAGAUGACGUCAUUCCCCCAUCUUCUCCAGACAUCAGUGAGUCCUCGGACAGUGUUGUUGUCAUCCAAAGACGAAAGACACGUCGGACACAGCCACCUGCAUCUGCAACUGCGGCUGUGCCUGGAAAAGCUCAUGUGAGAGUGAAAGGGCCAGCUGAGGUUAUCAGCAGAUAUAAAAAAAAGUCUUGAAAAGCUUAAGCAAAGUCCGCACCAUGACUGAAGCCUUCAGAAUCAAUGGCGUGGACCGGGGAACCAUCAAGAUGACUGCUGCAAUUGCAGAGCUCAACAUUGUGGAUCCUGAAACCUUCGAGACUCUGAAGUAUGAUCCUGCAACUGAGACCCUGCAGUCAUUUGCUAAGAGAUGUGCAACCCACAUUACCCCUGAGAAGAAGAGCAUUAUAGAGGACAUGAAGGCCAAAUGCCAACUCCUGCCCUUGUUGAUGAAAUAUUAAGACCUGAUACAGUAAUUAUAGAGCAAGUUUAGGCUGUGAAAGUGCAAUGUUUGUUGAGUUCAGUACAUUUGUUCUAAGCGUUGACAAGUGUAGUGUAGCUGAUAAAGAGCAAGUUCAUGUUGAGCUGUGCAGGUUUUAUAUUUUUUAGAUUGUGCAAUAUUUUGUAUUUUUGUACCUAAUAUUGUUGUUUUUUGUAAGCAGGCAGAUUUUGGUUAAAGGAUC